UGGUGGUUGCUGCAUGGAUGAUGAGGCGGCCUCACAUUAUAUUGACAAGAUAGAUCAGACUACACUUGGGCACUGGUUUAUCAAAGAGAAGUUCACUGUGACUCCAAGAGUUGGUUGGCAGAUUGAUCCCUUUGGUCAUUCUGCAGUGCAGGCUUACCUUUUGGGGGCAGAGGUUGGAUUUGACUCUUUUUUCUUCGGCCAAAUUGACUACCAAGACAGAAAUAAGUGAAAAAAUGAGAAGAGCCUUGAGGUUGUCUGGCAGGGCUCUAAGAAUUUUGGUUCAUCUGCACAGAUCAAGAUAGAGACAGAGGCGAAAGUCCAACAAUUCUGAAAUUGGUGAAGCAAAUUUGAUUUUGGCGGGACAAAGAGGCGGGAGCCAAAUAAUGAAGGGUUUUUCAUUCUUUAUCUUUCAUGCCAUCCUUAUCUACCAUCUACACCACAAAUUUGUUGUGUUUUCAUCUUCUACGAUCAGAGUUCAUUAGGUGGGAGAUAUAGUUGUUCUAAAAAUUAUCAUUAGACCAACAGAAAUAGUUGCAAUCGGAGCACUUAAAAGCAUAGACUAUCUAAAAAAGUAGAAGGGGAAGAACUAGGACCUGACUAUUGGGAGGUACAUGUUCAAGUGCCAGUCAAACCUAAUGAGAGCUUGAUCCGAUCAUAUGAACUUGUCAGAACAAUUAGACAAGCUAUUGGAGCUCAUGUUGCUUAGCCAACUCCAUUUGUGAUUUCGCAAGUUAU